rnacentral:tRNA from 1 species
GCUCGGAUGGUGGAACUGGUAGACACGCAGGACUUAAAAUCCUGUGCCCUUAACAGGCGUGCGGGUUCGAUUCCCGCUCCGAGUA